AAACCAUGAUGAGGGCAGUCUCUCUCAUACUCCUUGAAUCGAUCCCAGGCUUCAUAGAAUGACUCUAUUAGGCCUUGUUGAAACUUUGUAUCUUGUUUCUCAGCU
rnacentral:snoRNA from 1 species